AAUCAACGCUGGCGGCGUGCCUCAGACAUGCAAGUCGAACGCGAAAGCCCGCAAGGGUAAGUAGAGUGGCGCACGGGUGAGUAACACGUGGACAACCUGCCUUCGAGUGGGGAAUAACCUUCCGAAAGGAGGGCUAAUACCGCAUAACACCUCGGGACACAAGUCUUGGGGUUGAAAAGAGCAAUUUGCUCGAAGAGGGGUCCGCGCCUGAUUAGCUAGUUGGUGAGGUAACGGCUCACCAAGGCUUCGAUCAGUAGCCGUCCUGGAGGUGGCCGGCCGA
rnacentral:rRNA from 1 species